UACAGAGGUCUCAAGCGUUGUUCGGAUUCAUUGGGCGUAAAGGGUGCGUAGGCGGCGCGGUAAGUCGGGUGUGAAAUCUCGGAGCUUAACUCCGAAACUGCAUUCGAUACUGUCGUGCUUGAGGACUGGAGAGGAGACUGGAAUUUACGGUGUAGCGGUGAAAUGCGUAGAUAUCGUAAGGAAGACCAGUGGCGAAGGCGGGUCUCUGGACAGUUCCUGACGCUGAGGCACGAAGGCCAGGGGAGCAAACGGG
rnacentral:rRNA from 1 species